rnacentral:rRNA from 1 species
UUAUAAGAGACAGCAGUCGCCGCGGUAAUACGGAGGGUGCAAGCGUUAAUCGGAAUUACUGGGCGUAAAGCGCACGCAGGCGGUCUGACAAGUCAGAUGUGAAAUCCCCGGGCUUAACCUGGGAACUGCAUUUGAAACUGUCAGGCUGGAGUCUUGUAGAGGGGGGUAGAAUUCCAGGUGUAGCGGUGAAAUGCGUAGAGAUCUGGAGGAAUACCGGUGGCGAAGGCGGCCCCCUGGACAAAGACUGACGCUCAGGUGCGAAAGCGUGGGGAGCAAACAGGAUUAGAUACCCCUGUAGUCCCUGUCUCUUAUAC